rnacentral:rRNA from 1 species
CUACGGGUUGCAGCAGUGGGGAAUAUUGCACAAUGGGCGCAAGCCUGAUCCAGCCAUGCCGCGUGUAUGAAGAAGGCCUUCGGGUUGUAAAGUACUUUCAGCGGGGAGGAAGGGAGUAAAGUUAAUACCUUUGCUCAUUGACGUUACCCGCAGAAGAAGCACCGGCUAACUCCGUGCCAGCAGCCGCGGUAAUACGGAGGGUGCAAGCGUUAAUCGGAAUUACUGGGCGUAAAGCGCACGCAGGCGGUUUGUUAAGUCAGAUGUGAAAUCCCCGGGCUCAACCUGGGAACUGCAUCUGAUACUGGCAAGCUUGAGUCUCGUAGAGGGGGGGAGAAUUCCAGGUGUAGCGGUGAAAUGCGUAGAGAUCUGGAGGAAUACCGGUGGCGAAGGCGGCCCCCUGGACGAAGACUGACGCUCAGGUGCGAAAGCGUGGGGAGCAAACAGGAUUAGAUACCCUUGUAGUC